rnacentral:rRNA from 1 species
GACGAACGCUGGCGGCGUGCUUAACACAUGCAAGUCGAACGGAAGGGCCCUACUUUUGUGGGUUGCUCGAGUGGCGAACGGGUGAGUAACACGUGAGUAACCUGCCCUAGACUUUGGGAUAACAUCAGGAAACGAGGGCUAAUACCGUAUAGGAGCUCCUGCUCCAUGGGGAGGGUGGGAAAGUUUGGGCUGGUGGGGAUGGACUCGCGGCUUACGAGUUUGUUGGUGGGGGGGUGGCUUACCAAGGCCGUGACGGGUAGCCGGCCGGGGAGGGUGACCGGGCACCGUGGGAUUGAGACAGGGCCCAGACCCAGACGGGAGGCAGAGGUGGCGAAGAUGAAACAAGGGGAGGAAGCGGGAUGCAGAAACGGCGCGGGCGGGAUGACGGAGUUCGGGUUGGAAACAGCAUCCGCUUGUGACGAAGCGGGAGUGACGGUAACCGGUAAAGAAGCACCGGCUAACUUCGUG